GUAUUCACUUCCACAGCACAUAUACUAAAAUUGGAACAACACAGUGCAGAUUAGCAUGGCACUCAUGUAAGGAUGAUCUGCAGAUCUGUGAAACAUUCCAUAUUUUG